rnacentral:tRNA from 1 species
GUGGAAAUAGCUUAAUAGGUAGAGCAUAGCCUUGCCAAGGUUAAGGUUGAGGGUUCAAGUCCCUCCUUCCACU